GACGAACGCUGGCGGCGUGCUUAACACAUGCAAGUCGAGCGCUGAUGCCCUUUUGGGGGUGGAUGAGCGGCGAACGGGUGAGUAACACGUGGGUGACCUGCCCUCAGCUCUGGGAUAAGCCUGGGAAACUGGGUCUAAUACCGGAUAUGACCUUGCCUCGCACGGGGUGGGGUGGAAAGUUCUUGGGCCUUUUGGUCUGGGUUCGGUUGGGGAUGGGCCCGCGGCCUAUCAGCUUGNGGUGGGGUGAUGGCUUACCAAGGCGACGACGGGUAGCCGGCCUGAGAGGGCGACCGGCCACACUGGGACUGAGACACGGCCCAGACUCCUACGGGAGGCAGCAGUGGGGAAUAUUGCGCAAUGGGCGGAAGCCUGACGCAGCGACGCCGCGUGGGGA
rnacentral:rRNA from 1 species